AGGAUUAUUGACCAGAAGGUGUGCCUCAGUGAUGGUGAACGUGGAGAGAGAUACAUCAUGUUGCUGCCUCAGAACAUUUCCUGUGAGGAGUGCUUUCCCUCCUUGGACCUACAAAGAUGGCUUUAAAGUGGGGCAUGAGAGAACAGGCAAUGGACUAGGAGUCAGUAGGUCUGUGUCCUGCCACUUAUAACCACCUGAUUUUUGGACCCCGAAUCCAACCCCUGAAACGACUGUGUCCUGGUAAAACCCCAAUCAUUGGGGUGGGAGCUAUGUUGCCAGUGCAUGCUCAGACUGUCCCUUCUGAUUCCUUGUUAACAGCUUCUUUGUCCUCCUGAUUCACAGGUAUCAGAACUUGUCAGGAGCAAGAAAUAGAAAACUCAGCUCAAACUGGCUCAAGCAGAAAAGGAUAUUUGUUGGCUUAGGUCACUCAUUUAGAUCAAGGCACUGGGGAUCUAGGGACGCCAAUGGCCUCAUCAGGACCCGGUUUCUUGCCAUCUCUCAGUUCUGCUUUCCCCUGUGUUGACUCUAUUUUCAGCAGGCUUGCUCCUCCUAGUGGCAAAAUGGCUGCAGAAAUGCUCAGCUUAUAUCCUCAAAGCUUCAACUUCUGUGAAGUAGAGAGCUAGCCUCUGACCCAGCAUUCUUGGCAAAAGUCUCCUUGCGUUUCACUGGCUUUGGAAAAAUCAUGGGAUGCUCCUGAUUUGGGAUGAGGUCAAAGUUUCCCCCACCCCACAACUGCAGGAGGUGAAGUUCCACUUGAAUCACUUGGGCUAAAACUGGGGGGAAGUUUGAUCCCAAAUGAAAAGUGGGGGUGUGGCAAGAAGAGGGAAUGGAUGGAUGCAGUGGUACCCUCAUUACUUUACCUCCCAAAAUGUAGCCUGAAGGCUGACAAAGACUCUUUGACCAAACUUCAGUCAGGCUCCUCUGAGCCCUCUUCUCAACAAAGCCUUGAUCUUGGGCUUCCGUGUUCACCUUUUCUCUGCCUUGUUUUAGCAAGAAUCCUGUUUAAGUUGGUUUAGACUGAAUCUCCACCCUCGACAUCUGAUGAAAUUUUUCAUCCUCCACCAUCCCUCAGAGGCGUGAGGAGGCUGGAGCGGGAGCCCUCAGACCUGCCCAGUAGACCUGCAAAGGCUUCCCGGCCAAGUGAUGGCUAAGGAGAUUCUAGAAGGAUGAGGGAAGAUGGAGCACCCAGGACACUGUCAACUCCAAGAAGUUGAGGCUCAUCCUUGUUGUGUUCACAUCUUGUCUCCAGGACCCUGCACGGAGCCCACUGCAUAACAGACACAGGCGUCCCCGCUGAGGAGGCAGCCAUGCCAGCCCUGUCAUCUCACUGAUCGACCCUGGCUGACUCCAUCCACGUCGGGGCAGGAAGGACCAAACACCAGAAGGUGGGGCAGGCACGGCUCCCACGGCCAGGGAGCCUCCCCUGGUCGUCUGCUCCCCCGCCGGGAAUUCUCAGGACAACUUCUGCCUUUCAAAGGGGUGGGGCUGCUGCCUGCCCUCCGGCCGGUCCCUUCGUCCUGCUGGGCUUUCUGACUUCCCUAUCCUCCCCUCCUUGAAUGCUUACUGGCACACUCUGUGGCAGGUCGGGUGCAAACCCCUUGCUUUGAAUCUGACUCCAAGAGUGGCAAGAAAUGGAACUGGCCAUACUUUCUACAUGCCUCCAUUUCCUGGCCUCUGGAACGGGCACAGUCAUGUAUCUCAUGCCACAUUUUGUCUUGUAAUCUUGGUCAGAGAAAAAAAACAGACACCCACACAUUUUGCAUGUCAUGGCAAGGGGCUGACAGAAGCUGUUAAGUCCACCCACUAGCCCUAGGCUGAGAUAUGAUGAGCUAGACAAAAAUUGGACACAACCUAAAUUGUCCAUCAACUGGUAAAUGGAUAGUCAGAUGUGAUACAGCCUUAGCAUGGAAUACUACUCAGCAAUGAAAAGGAACUGUUUACAGAUAAUGCAAUGACACAGAUGAAACUUCAAAAAUAUUAUGCUCAGGAAAGGAAGCCAUACACAAGAGACCCGUAUAGUGUAUGGUCUACUUAUAUAAAAGAUCCAAAACUAUAAAGACAGAAAGUAGACUAGUGGCUGCUUGGGACAGAGACAGGAACUAACAGUAAAUGUGCAUGAAGGAUCAUAUGGGAAUGAUGAAAUGUUAUAAUACUGAUAUGGGGAUGGUUGCAUAACUUAUUAAAAAAAAUACAGGCAUAUCUUGAAGAUAUUUCAGGUUUGGUUCCAGACCACCACAGUAAAGUAAAUAUCACAAUACAGUGAGUCACAUGAACUUUUUUGGUUUUCCAAUGCAUAUAAAAGUUAUGUUUACACUAUACUGUAGUCUAUUGAGUGUACAAUAGUGUUAUAUCUAAAAUACAAUGUAUGUUACACAUCUUAAUUUAAAAAAUGCUUCAUUGCUUGUGAUAUCCAAUGGGGAGUGUGUGAUUGUCCCAGGGGCUGGGAGCAUACAUAAUGGACUUUCAGAUGCGAUGGAUGCGGGGGCUAGAAGUCCCACAACCUGCAAGGAGUUUCAGGAGUAGAGUCAGGAUGGAAGUAUCUCAGGCCACUGGGCCAUGUGUUCUCUGUCACGCAUACCUGAUGUUGCCGUGGGAGUGUAGAAACAUUGCAGGGCAUUACUGAAUCCCAAUAAACCUUUAUUUAAAACAAUACUUCAUUGCUAAAAAAUGCUCACCACCAUCUGAGCCUUCAGCAAGUAGUAGCAGUAACAUCAAAGAUCAGUGACCAGGAUCACUGUCACAAA